GUGUAAGCUGUUGACAGUUUACGAGACCUAACCUCAAACUUUUUUUUAGAGUAAACUAUAAUAUUUUCUGUUAAUUUAAGUAUAUUUACUAUGUUGAAAGUUUCUUUAAAAUAUUUGCCGAAGAAAGAUAAGCCCAAUAACAGUAUAUAUUAAUUAAUAAUCUCAUAAGACUUUGUGUGUUUUAAAGUAUUGCAAAAAUUUGCAAGUUACAUUGUGAACCUCUACGUAAAACAUUUUGUUUAAAAGCGGUUUAAAGGACCAUAUGUUGAUGUACAUUUCUCUUAAAUUGGGUUUAUAGUGCUGUAUAAUUUGCCGGUUUUUCAAUGCGGCUUCACAAAGUUCGGAAAAUACUUCUUUUUAUGUUUCAUCAAAAAUGCUCUGAGAAAAAAUGUGCGGUUUUCACUAAAAUGUCCAGCGAAAAGUGAACAAUAUAUGGUCAGGAUGGUAGGGAGUGGUUAUGAUCCUAUCCCUCACUACCAUCUAAGUGGAGGAGGUCGAGAUUUUUGCCAUUGGAUCACACAUAUUAAAUUAUCACGAAUAUUAAUACUGGUCUCAGUUAUUUUAUUCAUCGUGCCACUAUUUGCGCACUACUAUUUAUCCAAGGUGGAAUCCGAUUCUUCAAACAUGGAUAUUCAUCACACCCGUUCAAAGCUGGAAGCUUUUGAGGAUUUCACAUCGAUGAAGGCUGUUGAUUUAAAAGCACGAAUUGAAGAAAUGUUGCACAUCAAAACGUCAGUCAGUAAUGAGCUGAGGGACUUGGAAGCGAAACGCCAGAAGCUUCAGACAGAAGUCAGUGGAUUUACGCAAAGGAUCGACGAAUUGAAACAAGAACUCUUGCAUCAACAGAUGGACUUGGAUAGACUGAAAAUCAGUGUGAUUCAGGCACAAGCUGCACAGAGGGAAGCUGUGGAGCGAAACACGCCAGAGUUAGCUCUCCCGAAAAGAAUUUUGAUCAACGAAGUGCCUGUGACAAUUGCGAGCACUGAUCCUCAUUCCUGUAGAAUGUACAAUUGUUUUGACCAUAGUCGAUGUGCAUUGACGAGUGGCUUUCCUAUCUAUCUUUAUGAUCCUGAUCAGUUCUCAGUUGUCAAUUCGAGAUGGGAUGUAGAUGGAUUUCUCAAGACAACGAUUAAGCAGACUCUAGGUUAUAAUCCUCACUUGACGUCGAAUCCCGCAGAGGCUUGUAUUUACAUACUUCUCGUUGGAGAAGCUCUCUCUGUUCAACAACCAAAUUCCCAAAAAUCCAGGAGUCCUAUCGAUUUAAAAAAACUACAUGCAUUACCCUACUGGGGAGGGGAUGGCAGAAAUCAUAUUUUACUGAACCUCGCUCGGAGGGAUUUAUCCGUAGAAGCUGGAGACAUUUUCAAUGGAUUAGACACAGGUCGGGCGAUGAUAGUGCAAUCGACGUUUCAUCGAAAUCAGUUUCGCGACGGUUUUGAUUUGAUCGUUCCACCCAUUUUGGGACCACCAGGUGGAGACGUGUGGCAAGAAUGUGCGCAAAUGUUACCAGCUAGAAGAAGGUAUUUAUUAUCCUUUCAAGGUGAAAUGAAAUCAUUGAAAAGCACUUCAACGACGCAUCAACUGGACGACGCUGAGGCAGAUUUGGAGAGACUGGCAGUAGACGAGAAUAACUUGGAUAGCUUUAUUAUUCAGCAUUUGAAAGACAAGAGCACUGGAAUCACCUAUGACAGAUUUUUCAUUCAGUUUGAGUGUAUCCCAGCAUCUGACGACGGAAGAGUGAUAGAGGCCCUAGAUUGGUCUCUCUGUGGCACGGAUUCGUCAAGGAGAUCAGUUUUAAAAGAAUCGACAUUCGCUUUAAUUUUAGCACCUAGUAAUACGACGUUCGUUACUACGUCAUCGAUACAGGCGAGGCUCCAUGAAGCACUGAGAUCUGGUGCCAUACCUGUUAUUUUGGGAGGAGAUCAAAUCUUUCUUAGUUAUAAGGAAGUCAUCUCUUGGCGGAGGGCAGCCAUAUUUUUACCCAAAGCUCGAGUAACGGAGAUGCACUUCUUGCUGCGUGCUAUACCGGACAAUGAUCUGCUGGCCAUGCGUAGACACGGAAGAUUGAUAUGGGAGCGUUAUCUAGGGACCGCUCAGGGCGCCGUUGACACGAUCGUCGCCUGUGUUCGGGAUCGACUUGGAAUUCCUCCUUUGCCAGCUCCACAAACCGCCAGUCCAAGUGUUUUCAACGAAAGUUUUGUGCCUUUAAAAUCGGAUUCCAUCAUCGCGGAAUCCGAAGCUGAGGAAAGUCUCGGACCUCUUGAACCUCCUUAUCCGUCGCCUGCGUUCAAAAGGAAUUACACAAUCAUGCUUACUCAAGGAUUCGAGAUGUGGAAUGACUGGGUGGAUCCAUUUUAUUUGUAUCCUCAACUCCCUUUUGAUACCGUCUUGCCUAGUGAUGCAAAAUUUUUAGGGUCUGAAGUAGGAUUUCGACCAGUCGGCAAAGGAGCCGGGGGUGCGGGUAAAGAAUUUAGCGAAUCUCUUGGAGGAAAUUAUCCUAGGGAACAAUUUACAAUAGUCAUGUUAACUUAUGAGAGAGAACAAGUUUUAAUUAGUUCUCUUGCUCGACUUUAUGGUUUACCUUAUCUGAAUAAGGUACUCGUAGUUUGGAAUAGUCCUAAACCACCAAUGGAAGACCUUCGGUGGCCUAAUAUUGGGGUUCCAAUACAUGUAAUAAAGGCGCCCAGAAAUAGUUUAAACAAUAGAUUCCUACCUUUUGAUGCAAUUGUGACUGAAGCUGUUCUUUCUAUUGAUGACGAUGCUCAUUUAAGACACGAUGAAAUUAUGUUUGCAUUUCGGGUUUGGAGAGAACAUCGUGACCGUGUAGUUGGUUUUCCUGGUCGUUUUCACGCAUGGGAUCAAAAUUAUAACAAUGCUUGGAACUACAAUUCUAAUUACUCUUGCGAGCUGUCAAUGGUUUUGACAGGGGCUGCUUUUAUACACAAGCAUUAUACAUAUUUGUAUACACACUGGCUUCCUCAAGCAAUAAGGGAUAAAGUGGAUGAAUAUAUGAAUUGUGAAGAUAUUGCAAUGAACUUUUUGAUAUCACAUAUUACGAGAAAACCCCCUGUUAAGGUCACGUCGCGUUGGACUUUUAGAUGUCCGGGAUGUCCAGUUUCCCUUUCAGAAGAUGAUACACAUUUCCAGGAGAGGCACAAGUGUAUCAACUUCUUCUCGCAGGUGUUUGGAUAUAUGCCGCUAUUAAACACACAAUAUCGAGCGGAUUCGAUACUCUUCAAGACGAGGAUACCACAUGAUAAGCAAAAAUGUUUCAAGUUUAUAUAAUUGCCAUGAGGCGAACGUAUGCCAUAUUCCCAGAUUUCGACUGAAUUUAUUUUCCUUCGAAUCUGACGGUGGAUCCAGAAUUUAUCACAGAUGGCUGGUGAUAGGGAGAGAAGAGAAGGAUAGAGAGAGAGAGAGAGAGAGAGAGAGAGAGAGAUACAUUGAGUGAGAGAGCGGCGAAAUUAAAUAAGUUCCGGAGUUAACAGGUUUUUCGGGAAGAGAGAUUAAAAAAAAUGUUUAACAAGUAGUUCCUAACUCGUAGAUCUAGAGGCAUAAACAAAUUUCGUGUAUAUAGUUCCGACUUAUUUUGCAAAAAAAUUAUGCAUUUUGUCUGAAAGCCACCAUAUGGAAUUUUGUGUGCACUUGUGUCACAAUACCUGUUUGUAAUACAAUUGCGCAAAAUAAGGAAUCACAUGAAUAAAAAACGCCUAUGUGUUCGUGUAUCAAAUGCUACUUUUUUAACAACUGCCCGAAACAAAUAUUUAGAACUUUCUUGCACUUUUCCAACCAAUUUUGAAUCCCGUAUGGUGGUUUUCAGCCUAUAAUUGUUUUAAAAGAGUUCUUAAGAAUAUUUUUAUUUUUCCUUCAUGCAAAGUUACUUCAUUCUAAAAAGUGCAUGCGCGUCCAUUGCUUCGAUGCAAAUAUCUUAUAUCAUCAUUAGGACAAAAGUUAUAGGGGUUAAAGAACAAUUUGUUAUUAAAAAAUGCAAACUUCAAAAUCGAAAUAGUCUUAGCUUCGAAGACAUUUUUGUUCUCUAAUCGAAAAACUACGCUAUGCUCAAUUUCCUCUGAAAAGAACAUAUUUGAUCUUUAACAGUUUCUACGACUGGAAAUGUAUCUACUUACCCGGAUUUGAAAUGGAUUCGAUUAUUAUAUUAUGCGACGUAAUUCAAGUGUACAUAAUUUUGUUUCUUAUUGUACAUAAGCUAUUCAUUUACACCAAACUCUCGCUUUUGGUCACCCCGUUCUCGGCCUUCCUAUUACUGCUGGCUCCCGCAGUUUCUCAGGUGAACAGGGCGAAAGCGGUUGCGACUUUAUAUAUAUUUCAAUUGAAAACGAGUUAGGUGGUCCUCCCUGUUUACGUUUGGAUCCCCGCGAAAUCAGUCCAAGCAAAGAUAGUUUCUAAUAUCUUUGGUCCAAGGCUAUUUGAAGGCAACCCCCGACACUUGACUGAAAGCGAUAGUUUGGUGUACUUGGAAAAUUUAUAAACUGCGUUUUUUGCAGCAUAUAUAUAUAUAUAUAUAACUUUUAGAAAUCUGAUCAAAUUUCCUAUACUUUUACGUAACCAUAUUUUAAAUUUACGAGACUUGUAAUUGAAUUUCCUGACAUUUUUCAUGAAAUUACGAAAUUUGUAACGGAAUUUUCGUAUUGUACAUUUAAGAAACUUGUAACAGAAUUUUCCGAAAUUUAACGUAAUUUUACGAAACAUUUUUGUAACAGCAUGCAUUUCGGAACGUGUUUCGUAAAAUUAAGACAGAAAUUUCUAACAGUGUAUAUUAGUAGUAUAUAGGACAACAAACUCUUUUAGGAAACUUGUUUAAAUUAAGAAAUUAAUACUGUGCCAAUACAUUUAUUCCAUUUUAUAUUUUUAAGUUUAAAUAUUUGCAAAGAUUAACUCAAGCUAUUACAAAGUAUUGCCAUAUAUAUUUGAUUUAUGUUUGUAUGCUUGGAUUAUUCUUGUAGGUAUAAUUCUUUUUUUAAUACUGUAAACUGCGCUAAAUGCACAAAAUGUGAAUCUUUUUAAAGUAAUUUUUGCAAAGCUUACAUAUUCAAAAAUGGAAUAAUGCUUAAAUGAUUUGCUUGAAGAGUUGAACACGAUAAGCAGUAUAUUUGUAAAGAGUUGUUAAAAAAGUAUGUAUUUUAAAAACAGAUAAAUUCUCGACGAUUUUCCUAGAUUUCAUAAAAAUAGGUGUAUAUAAGUUAUUCUUCUGACUUUGUUUUUUUCCCAAUAUAUGAUCGUUUAGGGACUAAUAAAAAUAUAGUUGUUAAUUUUAAUUAAAUGAAAAUAGGAAUCUACUUUUUUAAUGACUCUACAAUGAAGUUUGAAUACUAAUUGAAGUGACUAAAAGAAUCCAUAUGACAGUUAGAAAAAUAGUCAUAUAUCAAGAUAAAUAGGACAAUGCUGUUCUAAAAUUAUCUGUAAUAAGACUUUUUAAGAUGUAAAUAUGCGAGUGUAUCAAAUUGGAAAAUACUGUGACUUUAGU